rnacentral:sRNA from 1 species
AUUCUGAGCAUUUUGAUCAAAGUAAGUUCUACUAAGUGAAAAUUGACUGGAUCUGUUAUUGACUGUCUCAUUUCUGCAAAGAUAAGAAAAAGUCAGGAGAAAAGAGAGUGUACUGAGAAACACUGGUGAAAUUAGAGUCAAGACAGAAGAGUUGUUCAUUAUUGUUACGCCCCAUGGUGUCCAUCCUGCCAGCAGACUGAUUCAGAAUGGGAGGCUUUUGCAAAGAAUGGUGAAAUACUUCAGAUCAGUGUGGGGAAGGUAGAUGUCAUUCAAGAACCAGGUUUGAGUGGCCGCUUCUUUGUCACCACUCUCCCAGCAUUUUUUCAUGCAAAGGAUGGGAUAUUCCGCCGUUAUCGUGGCCCAGGAAUCUUCGAAGACCUGCAGAAUUAUAUCUUAGAGAAGAAAUGGCAAUCAGUUGAGCCUCUGACUGGCUGGAAAUCCCCGGCUUCUCUAACGAUGUCUGGAAUGGCUGGUCUUUUUAGCAUCUCUGGCAAGAUAUGGCAUCUUCACAACUAUUUCACAGUGACUCUUGGAAUUCCUGCUUGGUGUUCUUAUGUCUUUUUCGUC